GGCCUGAGUCAGGCCUUUCCCUCGCUGUCCCAGAAACACACAGGCCCUCCUCGCCCUGUUUGCCCCACGCACACAUACAGUCCUCGGGUGAGAAAUCCCUCCUACAUCACAGGGCGGGGGGCACCAUCUUCCCCAAGCCCAGGUCUUUUGGGGGGUCCCAUGACCCCCUGCCCCCAGGCCUCCUGGCCAGGCAUGGGCGUCCCUGAGUGGCUGUGCCCGCUCCAGCGCCCCCGUGUCCCCAUGCCUGCCAGUCCCUCCAGGCAGGGGUGGUGCCUGGUGCCAGGGCCCCCACAGCAGGGUUGGAGGCUGCCCUAGGCUAUGAGAGACACAGCAUCUGCGGGUCCCUCCCCAAGUACACAGGUGGGGGUGGCGGGGGGGCAAAGCUGCGCCUGCUCGAGCCCCAUCGCCCUGCAGCGGUCCUUGGCAGCUGGCAGCAGGGACAGUGCCAGGAAGGGAGCCCUGCCAGGCCCCCAGUCCCCGCAGCCACCCACCCACUGCCCCGCCCUGGGGCUCAUUCUGUGCUUGCCACCCUGGAGCCUGGUCCUGGAGGGGACGAGCGGUAGAAUCCCCAUGCCUGUGUCAGGGACCGGCACAGAGACCUCCCACCCGUGGGAACUCCCGAUGAGAUCCGGCAGGUCAGGCCUGGGAGGGAAUGCUGCCCAGGGGCUCUGCGAAUGCUGCCCAGGGGCUGUGCAGAUGAUGUGGGUUUCCACCAGCAGAAUCCAAUAGGCCCCAUGGACAAUGACCACAGGCAAUGAGAAAGCUGUAGAGUGGUGCAUGUGAGAUCAGCGUCCAGAACUCACGGCUCUCAGACACCUACUCACAGCACAGCGUGCUAGGAGAUGGAGUGGCAGACGAUAUUUCAUCUAGGACAGCAAGAGAGAAGAUGCUCCCAGCAUAAACCUAGCCAGAAACGUGGGAAAGCUGCCACAGAGGCUGAAGUUAAAGGCACCCUGACCCCCGGGCCCCGAAGAGGCGCCACAGCUGCAAACAUGCACAUUCUUCCGAUGCAAUUCGUAAAUUUAAUACGAUCCCAAUAAAACCACACUUCUGGAACUAUUAUGCUCAUAUGGAAAAAUUAAUAAGCAAGUAACAGCCAAAAAAACAUGAAAAGAAAGUGAAAGAGGACCAGCUUUAUAAGCUCAGGGGAAACUUACUGUAAUGAAAACAGGGCAGUAUAAGCACCAGAAGACAGAGGAACAGGCCCAGUCCCUGAGACCCAAAUCAGUAGGGGGGAAAAGACUUUUUAACCAACGGCCCAGGGAUAGGGAUAGUCAUUUGGAAAAGCACUAAGUUAGACUCAUAGGCACAAAUCCCAAAUGCAGCAGAGACAGAAGCAUAAAAAAAGAACCCUGGCCAGGCGCGGUGGCUCACACCUGUAAUCCCAGCACUUUGGGAGCUCGAGGCGGAUGGAUCAUGAGGUCAGGAGAUCCAGACCAUUCUGGUUAACACGGUGAAACCCCAUCUCUACUAAAAAUACAAAAAAUUAGCUGGGUGUGGUGGCGGGUGCCUGUAGUCCCAGCUACUUGGGAGGCUAAGGCAGGAGAAUGGCGUCAACCCGGGAGGCAGAGCUUGCAGUGAGCCGAGAUGGCGCCACUGCACUCCAGCCUGGGCAACAGAGCGGGACUCCAUCUCUAAAAAAAAAAAAAAAAA
ensembl:lncRNA